rnacentral:misc_RNA from 1 species
GUUGAAGAACGCAGCGAAAUGCGAAAAGUAAUGUGAAUUGCAGAAUUCAGUGAACCAUCGAAUCUUUGAACGCACAUUGCGCCCGCUGGAACUCCGGCGGGCACGCCUGUCCGAGCGUCAUUUCAACCCUCAGGCCCCCCUUCGCGGGCGGGCCUGGUGUUGGGGCCCGGCCGCUACCCUGCGGCCGUCCCCUAAAUUCAGUGGCGGCCUCGCCGUGAUCCCUUGCGUAGUAAUGCACCUCGCACCGGAGAGCGCCGUGGCCACGCCGUAAAACCCCCAAUUUUCAAUGGUUGACCUCGGAUCAGGUGGGAAUACCCGCUGAACUUAAGCAUAUCAAUAAGCGGAGGA